GCUACGGGCGGCAGCAGUAGGGAAUAUUGCUCAAUGGGGGAAACCCUGAAGCAGCAACGCCGCGUGGAGGAUGAAGGUUUUCGGAUUGUAAACUCCUUUUGUUAGAGAAGAAAAUGACGGUAUCUAAAGAAUAAGCACCGGAUAACUCCGUGCCAGCAGCCGCGGUAAUACGGAGGGUGCAAGCGUUACUCGGCAUCACUGGGCGUAAAGAGCGCGGAGGCGGGAUAGCUAGUCAGCUGUGAAAUCCUAUGGCUUAACCCUAGAACUGCAUUUGAAACUGUUAUUCUAGAGUAUGGGAGAGGUAGGUGUCAUUCUUGGUGUAGGGGUAAACUCCG
rnacentral:rRNA from 1 species